AGAACGAACGCUGGCGGCAUGCCUAACACAUGCAAGUCGAACGAGACCUUCGGGUCUAGUGGCGCGCGGGUGCGUAACGCGUGGGAAUCUGCCCUUGGGUUCGGGAUAACAGUUGGAAACGACUGCUAAUACCGGAUGAUGACUUCGGUCCAAAGAUUUAUCGCCCAGGGAUGAGCCCGCGUAGGAUUAGCUAGUUGGUGAGGUAAAGGCUCACCAAGGCGACGAUCCUUAGCUGGUCUGAGAGGAUGAUCAGCCACACUGGGACUGAGACACGGCCCAGACUCCUACGGGAGGCAGCGAGUGGGGAAUAUUAGGACAAUGGGACGAAAGCCUGAUCCAGCAAUGCCGCGUGAGUGAUGGAAGGUCCUUAAGGUUGUAAAGCUCGUUUUACCCGGGAUGAUAAUGACGAGGUACGGAG
rnacentral:rRNA from 1 species